rnacentral:lncRNA from 1 species
UUUUUUCGAGUCUCACAUUUUUGCAUAUUCGUGACCUUUUCAGAUAAUCACUUUUUGGCAUCGUAAUUAAUGCGAUUGGCACCAACUAAAAUUCGAAGAGACAUGUUGACCCCGAUACAUUAGGUCUAGGGUUUGCAUUCAUAUAGUACAUCCAAAUGUGAUAAAUUUUUAGGUUAAAAUAAGAAAAUCUUUGACUAAAUCACACAACUAACUUUGGCUAGAUUGAAAGGGUGCUUUGGAUUUUAUCCUUGCCUUCCCUUUCUUCAAAUGUGACUCCCGAACACUUUUAUCUGAUUUUCGUAGAUUCGGAGUCAUUUAAAAAGGGUUUUCUCUACUUUUUAUUUAAAAUUCAUUUUUUAGCUGACUUGGUACACCUUAACUCAAUAUCAAGUAGCGAUUCCUGUUUUUAUUUAAAACCCUUUUUAAACUUU